rnacentral:rRNA from 1 species
AUUGAACGCUGGCGGCAUGCCUUACACAUGCAAGUCGAACGGGCUUUGGGGCUUGCUCCAAAGUUAGUGGCGAACGGGUGAGUAAAGUAUCGGAACGUGUCAUUGAGUGGGGGAUAACGCAGCGAAAGUUACGCUAAUACCGCAUAUUCUGUGAGCAGGAAAGCAGGGGAUCGCAAGACCUUGCGCUGAUUGAGCGGCCGAUGUCAGAUUAGCUAGUUGGUGAGGUAAAGGCUCACCAAGGCGACGAUCUGUAGCGGGUCUGAGAGGAUGAUCCGCCACACUGGAACUGAGACACGGUCCAGACUCCUACGGGAGGCAGCAGUGGGGAAUUUUGGACAAUGGGGGCAACCCUGAUCCAGCCAUGCCGCGUGAGUGAAGAAGGCCUUCGGGUUGUAAAGCUCUUUCGGCCGGGAAGAAAUCGCACGGGCUAAUACCCUGUGUGGAUGACGGUACCGGAAUAAGAAGCACCGGCUAACUACGUGCCAGCAGCCGCAGUAA